AGAGUUUGAUCCUGGCUCAGGGCUAACGCUGGCGGCGUGUCUUAGCCAUGCAAGUCGAGCGGUCCUAUGGGGCGACCUAUAGGAUAGCGGCGGACGGCGGAGUAACACGUAGCUAACCUACCCUCCGGACGGGGAUAACCAUUCGAAAGGGUGGCUAAUACCCGAUGGAGUCAUCCGCAAGGGUGAUGAAAGGUGGGCCUCUGUUUACAAGCUCAUGCCGGGGGAGGGGGCUGCGGCCUAUCAGGUAGUUGGUGGGGUAAAGGCCCACCAAGCCUAUGACGGGUAGCCGGCCUGAGAGGGUGACCGGCCCGAGGGACACUGAGACACGGGUCCCACUCCUACGGGAGGCAGCAGGCUAGAAAUUUGGGCAAUGGGGGAAACCCUGACCCAGUGACGCCGCGUGCAGGAAGGAGCCCUUCGGGGUGUAAACUGCUGUCGUGCGGGGCGAAGGGUUUAUAGGCGAAUAGUCUAUAGACUUGACGGUACCGCAGGAGGAAGCCCAGGCUAACCUCGUGCCAGCAGCCGCGGUAAUACGGGGUGGGCGAGCGUUGCCCGGAAUUACUGGGUUUAAAGGGGGUGUAGGCGGUCUGGAUAGUCAGGUGUGUAAUCCAAUCGCUCAACGAUUGGACUGCAUCUGAUACUUUCAGGCUAGAGGGCGGUAGAGGAGAGCGGAACUCCCGGUGUAGCGGUGAAAUGCGUAGAUAUCGGGAGGAACGCCGGUGGCGAAGGCGGCUCUCUGGGCCGUUCCUGACGCUGAGGCCCGAAAGCUGGGGGAGCGAAAGGGAUUAGAUACCCCUGUAGUCCCAGCCGUAAACGAUGGGCACUAGGUGUGCCUCUAUAUAGGGGUGUGCCGACGGGAAACCAUUAAGUGCCCCACCUGGGGAGUUACGCCCGCGAGGGUGAAACUCAAAGGAUUUGACGG
rnacentral:rRNA from 1 species